AACGCACAUUGCGCCCGCCAGCAUUCUGGCGGGCAUGCCUGUUCGAGCGUCAUUUCAACCCCUCAGGCCCUAGCGCCUGGCGUCGGAGGCUCUUUCCCCCUCACCGGGGGAACCUCUCAGAAACAGUGGCGGACCCGCCGCGGCUCCGAGCGCAGUAGUUAAAAAGCGUGUCGCUCUGGAGAUCACCGCGGGGAGCCUAGCCGUUAAACCGGGCCAGUGACCUGGCCCACGCCCAAGGUUGACCUCGGAUCAGGUAGGAAUACCCGCUGAACUUAA
rnacentral:misc_RNA from 1 species